rnacentral:pre_miRNA from 1 species
GUGUGUGUGUGUGUGGAUGGUGUUCAGCACCAGGGACAGGUUUGUGUGUGUGUGUAGAUGGUGUUCAGCACCAGGGACAAGUUUGGGG